rnacentral:rRNA from 1 species
CACUAUCGUUAACUGAAUACAUAGGUUAACGAGGCGAACCGGGGGAACUGAAACAUCUAAGUACCCCGAGGAAAAGAAAUCAACCGAGAUUCCCCCAGUAGCGGCGAGCGAACGGGGAGCAGCCCGGAGUCUGAAUCAGCUUGUGUGUUAGUGGAACGGUCUGGAAAGUCCGACGGUACAGGGUGAUAGUCCCGUACACGAAAACACACAGGUUGUGAACUCGAAGAGUAGGGCGGGACACGUGGUAUCCUGUCUGAAUAUGGGGGGACCAUCCUCCAAGGCUAAAUACUCCUGACUGACCGAUAGUGAACCAGUACCGUGAGGGAAAGGCGAAAAGAACCCCGGCGAGGGGAGUGAAAAAGAACCUGAAACCGUGUACGUACAAGCAGUGGGAGCNGUGACUGCGUACCUUUUGUAUAAUGGGUCAGCGACUUAUAUUCUGUAGCAAGGUUAACCGUAUAGGGGAGCCGAAGGGAAACCGAGUCUUAACUGGGCGUUAAGUUGCAGGGUAUAGACCCGAAACCCGGUGAUCUAGCCAUGGGCAGGUUGAAGGUUGGGUAACACUAACUGGAGGACCGAACCGACUAAUGUUGAAAAAUUAGCGGAUGACCUGUGGCUGGGGGUGAAAGGCCAAUCAAACCGGGAGAUAGCUGGUUCUCCCCGAAAGCUAUUUAGGUAGCGCCUCGUGAACUCAUCUUCGGGGGUAGAGCACUGUUUCGGCUAGGGGGCCAUCCCGGCUUACCAACCCGAUGCAAACUACGAAUACCGAAGAAUGUUAUCACGGGAGACACACGGCGGGUGCUAACGUCCGUCGUGAAGAGGGAAACAACCCAGACCGCCAGCUAAGGUCCCAAAGUCAUGGUUAAGUGGGAAACGAUGUGGGAAGGCACAGACAGCCAGGAUGUUGGCUUAGAAGCAGCCAUCAUUUAAAGAAAGCGUAAUAGCUCACUGGUCGAGUCGGCCUGCGCGGAAGAUGUAACGGGGCUAAACCAUGCACCGAAGCUGCGGCAGCGACACUAUGUGUUGUUGGGUAGGGGAGCGUUCUGUAAGCCGUUGAAGGUGUGCUGUGAGGCAUGCUGGAGGUAUCAGAAGUGCGAAUGCUGACAUAAGUAACGAUAAAGCGGGUGAAAAGCCCGCUCGCCGGAAGACCAAGGGUUCCUGUCCAACGUUAAUCGGGGCAGGGUGAGUCGACCCCUAAGGCGAGGCCGAAAGGCGUAGUCGAUGGGAAACAGGUUAAUAUUCCUGUACUUGGUGUUACUGCGAAGGGGGGACGGAGAAGGCUAUGUCAGCCGGGCGACGGUUGUCCCGGUUUAAGCAUGUAGGCGGAGGUUCCAGGUAAAUCCGGUACCUUUUAACGCUGAGGUGUGAUGACGAGGCACUACGGUGCUGAAGUGAUAAAUGCCCUGCUUCCAGGAAAAGCCUCUAAGCAUCAGGUAACACGAAAUCGUACCCCAAACCGACACAGGUGGUCAGGUAGAGAAUACCAAGGCGCUUGAGAGAACUCGGGUGAAGGAACUAGGCAAAAUGGUGCCGUAACUUCGGGAGAAGGCACGCUGAUAUGUAGGUGAAGUCCCUGCGGACGGAGCUGAAAUCAGUCGAAGAUACCAGCUGGCUGCAACUGUUUAUUAAAAACACAGCACUGUGCAAACACGAAAGUGGACGUAUACGGUGUGACGCCUGCCCGGUGCCGGAAGGUUAAUUGAUGGGGUUAGCGGCAACGCGAAGCUCUUGAUCGAAGCCCCGGUAAACGGCGGCCGUAACUAUAACGGUCCUAAGGUAGCGAAAUUCCUUGUCGGGUAAGUUCCGACCUGCACGAAUGGCGUAAUGAUGGCCAGGCUGUCUCCACCCGAGACUCAGUGAAAUUGAACUCGCUGUGAAGAUGCAGUGUACCCGCGGCAAGACGGAAAGACCCCGUGAACCUUUACUAUAGCUUGACACUGAACACUGGUCCUUGAUGUGUAGGAUAGGUGGGAGGCUUUGAAGCGUGGACGCCAGUCUGCGUGGAGCCAUCCUUGAAAUACCACCCUUUAAUGGCUGGUGUUCUAACGUAGACCCGUGAUCCGGGUUGCGGACAGUGUCUGGUGGGUAGUUUGACUGGGGCGGUCUCCUCCCAAAGAGUAACGGAGGAGCACGAAGGUUGGCUAAUCCUGGUCGGACAUCAGGAGGUUAGUGCAAUGGCAUAAGCCAGCUUGACUGCGAGCGUGACGGCGCGAGCAGGUGCGAAAGCAGGUCAUAGUGAUCCGGUGGUUCUGAAUGGAAGGGCCAUCGCUCAACGGAUAAAAGGUACUCCGGGGAUAACAGGCUGAUACCGCCCAAGAGUUCAUAUCGACGGCGGUGUUUGGCACCUCGAUGUCGGCUCAUCACAUCCUGGGGCUGAAGUAGGUCCCAAGGGUAUGGCUGUUCGCCAUUUAAAGUGGUACGCGAGCUGGGUUUAGAACGUCGUGAGACAGUUCGGUCCCUAUCUGCCGUGGGCGCUGGAGAAUUGAGGGGGGCUGCUCCUAGUACGAGAGGACCGGAGUGGACGCAUCACUGGUGUUCGGGUUGUCAUGCCAAUGGCACUGCCCGGUAGCUAAAUGCGGAAGAGAUAAGUGCUGAAAGCAUCUAAGCACGAAACUUGCCCCGAGAUGAGUUCUCCCUGAGACUUUAAGUCUCCUGAAGGAACGUUGAAGACGACGACGUUGAUAGGUCGGGUGUGUAAGCGCAGCGAUGCGUUGAGCUAACCGAUACUAAUGAACCGUGAGGCUUAACCUU